rnacentral:pre_miRNA from 15 species
UUUUGCCCACACCCCCAUGUCUCCAGGGCAACCGUGGCUUUAGAUUGUUACUGUGGUUGUGUGUUGGUAACAGUCUACAGCCAUGGUCGCUUGGGCUAGACACACACUCAUCACAGGGC